rnacentral:lncRNA from 1 species
CCUGUAACGAGAAAAUUUAUGUAAAUCUUUGUAUUUAUUUGCUUUUACAAACUUGUCAAAUUAAAUGAUUUUUUUUUUUUUUAGCGGAAACCGGUCUUUUCGUUGUUUUUUUUUUUUUUUUUCCUCUUCUUCAUCCGGAGGAAUAAAAACGUCGAGAUGAAAGCAGUUCGUGACACACGCUCGCACGCUCUUACAUGACGCACGCAUUCACGCAUAGGAGCGAAAGAGAGAAAGAGAAAGAGAAAAGAGAGAGAGAGAGAGAGAGAGAGAGAGAUUAAUUUAAAGAAGAGGUUGAAAGCAUGAGUGCAUGAAGGCGUGCAGGGAGGAUAGAAUGAAUGGCGUAGAAAAAUAUAAAAUAGAUUUUCAAAGUAGCGUAGAUAAUUCGAUAUUUCGCUCGCACAUUAAUCUUUUAUCUUUGAGCUUGCUUAGCAAGAUUUCACGGUAGAUUGAUUUCGUGGUCAAAGUGGAUCGAUCGAUGUGCCGUUUUACAUCAUCGGUUUACAACGUAUCGACAAUGUUUAUUGAAAAUAAAAUACCGAAUAUUUAUUAUCGUUUCAAAUAUGUCUCGUUCAAAGAAAUUCUUCUCUCAAUUUUUCAAUUUUUAUCUCGAUCGCGACGAGAUUCAAAGAUUCUGAAUAACACCUAUGAAAAAUAUAUAUUUUUCGUAUAUACACAACGUGUAUACGUAAAUACGUAAUUUGUAUUUUCAUAUGUACAAGAAAAAGAAUACGAAAAGAAUACGCGAGAUAUUUGUUAUCGGAAAAAAUAAAAAAAAAAACGGAUUAUUAUUAUUAUUUCGGAUGGUUCUUAUUCUUUUUCUUUUUUUUUUUAUUUUUUACUUUUUAUUUAUUUAUUUAUUUUUACUUUUUAUUUACUUUUUUUUCCCUCUUUUUUUUUUUUACGAGGAUAACAAUUUUCGAAUUUUUCAACGCUGCGAGAUUUUUUGGAAAAAUUGGAAACUGAGACGUAACAAUGUAAUAUUUGUAAUAUAUAAUGCACUUUGGGUUUGUGUUCUUAAGCAUUAUAAAAUUGUUCUCUCUAUAUUCAUUGACUCUUUUUAAAUAGAAGAAGAAACUUGAUAUUUCGAUUGUCAAUGCUGCACUUUCGAUUUGAAGAGGAUCGCGAUGUUUCCAUUCGUACUAUCUUUCGAUUUGUUGUGGAACGAACGGAGAGACACGAAAAAUAUCCGAACCAUGGGUACGUUUCUGUCGAAAUUAAUCGUAGCAAGAAAAUCCUUUUCUUUCUUGUUUCCUUCUUUUUCUCUUUUUUUUUUUCUUUUUCUUUUUUUCUUUCAGAUGAUUUAUCACGAAUCAUCGGAACGAAUAAUUAUUACGAUUUAUUACGAAACAAAAUGGAAUACAGCUUAUCGUUACGAUACGAUCGAAGAAAAGAUGGAAAAAAGGGGAAUCGAUAUCGUUUCCAUUGAUAUUUCGAAUUGUUGUAAUUAAACGAGAUUGUUUCCUUUUUUUUUUUUUUUUUUUUUUUUUAUAUCGUAUCGAAAGUGAAUAAUAUAUAUAUAGAUUUUUCAUUUCGAUUAAAUAUAGAAGAGAUUUUGGGGGGAAUAUGCUCGCACACGAACGAGAAGGCGCGCACAUUUUUCCAUCAUCGUAUCAAUCGAGAAAUUAAUCGAGAAACUGCGUUUUCAAAUUCGUGUUCGAAAUUGCGGUGCACGUAUACGAACGAAGCACGAAGUAUACGGAACGGAAAAACACGAAGAAAACUUCGCGCCUACGAAUCGAUUUUGAAUAAUUCGAGAAAAGGCAAUGAUAUGUACUUAGCCUACUAUUUUGUAUAAUAAAUAACUAUAUACGCAUAAAUAUACGCGAGCGAUAUAACAAUAAUUUUCUUUUACAUUAAUUGCACGAACUGCACAUUAGUACAUAUAUACUAAUAUUACUAAUAUUCUCUUUGCAAAUUUCCUCGCCAAUUCUUAAUAAUCGAAACGAUAUAUCUUCUUAUCCGUGACUUAUAUAAAUUCGUAGAAUUCCAAGUAUCUUAUCGGCAAUUUUUCUCUCGGGAGAGAAUACAUAUAUAUAUAUAUAUAUAUAUAGAAUCUUUUCCUUCUAUGGAACAUACGCAUGAUAUUUAUAAAUUUUUUUUUUAAAAAAUUUAUAAAUAAUCUCCCCCUGGGAGAGGGGAAAGAAAAGAAGAAGGAAUAGAAACUAAUACAUCGAAUAAAACGAACAACGAUACAAAAUUGCAUUUAUUUAGAAGAUGAUCGAAAUCGUUAUACUUUUCCUUCCAAUUGCUUUACUUUUUCUUUUUCCUUCGUUUUAUCUUUUAUAUCGAUAACGCUCGAUAAUUCUC